rnacentral:lncRNA from 1 species
UGAGAUAACUGUCCUUACUGCGCUGAGGUAGCUUCCCUGAGGUAGCUGAGAUAACUGCCCUGACCGCGCUGAGAUAGCUGCGCUGAGGUAGCUGCCCUGAGGUAGCUGAGAUAACUGCCCUGACUGUGCUGAGAUAGCUGCGCUGAGAUAGCUGCACUGAGGUAGCUGCCCUGAGGUAGCUAAGAUAACUAAGAUAGCUGCGCUAAGGUAGCUGAGAUAAAUAUCCUGACUGCGCUGAGAAGACCCAAAUUCUACUUAAGGCUUUCCCCUCCGAAGCGUG